CGAACGUAAAAGAGACCAUAGGCUGGCUUACGUUUGUCGAACGUCACUGCGGAUUUCCACGUUCUGUGUGGUGCAGAGACGAGAUUCUGAGAGACCAAACUCUUCGACAUGCUGUCCUGAGAUGCGAAUGCCUCUGUACCGACUAACCAAAGAACGCAGCCGCCCAGCUUCGGCUCCAGCAACUGAGUUCGACAUUCUUGAACCACGUGCUUCGCAAAGCGGGUUACGAUACCGGUGCUGCGCUCCAGCAGAUGUCCAUGGAUUUCUCCAACUGCAAAAGUACAUCGUCUGGAGAUACAAAUUGGAAAGUCUAAAUGGAAUUGAGUCUUCGAAUCAAGUUUGUGUAAAUAUGAGGCCUUAGCAAACAUAGAAAUGCAGUUAGUCGACAAGUCGGCACUGUCCAUUUUUCUUUACACGCGUGGUAUUUCAUUCUCUGUACGCCACUAACGGCAAGUAUGUUCAAGCUGUUAAGAAAGUCGUAAAAAGGCUUGGAAAUACACAUCGAAUCGUUUAUAUCAGAUAAUAUGUCGAUAGGAUUUUUUUCCCUCUUCCUGUCUCUCGAUUACACUAAUGCUCUUAUCUUAUCGAUGAAAAAAUUUGAUAUCAUCUUGAGAGUUGAACAAUGCUAGAUGUUUUCGAGAGAGAGUAAAUACAUUGAUUUCAGGAAUACCCGCGUUGCAUUUGCUUUGAAAUACGUCGCACGAUUCAUUCAAAAUGAAAAAAAUAAAAAAAU
rnacentral:misc_RNA from 1 species